CGUGUGGCUAUAGGUUUGACUGAAUUCCCCAAACUGUAGAUCAAUUUAGUGCUUGGAUUGGUAGUUUUAAAGGCAAAGUAAAAUAGAGGUUAGUGGGUUAGUGUUGGGUGUGAUAACUGUGUUCUGGACACUCUGGAAAACUAGGAACACUGCUACUUUUGACCACAUAUACCCAGUGAUCCUACUAUGGUGGUGUAUAAGUUGUCUCAUUGGAUUAAAUUAUGGUCUGGUUUACAGAUAAAGGAAAACAAUUGGAGGUACAGGGAUCAAGAUGGCCGCAAACUCACUCUUGUUUGUGCUAUGGCACUCAAGGGCCGAAUUCAACGGCGCAACUGGUGACUGCGUGCCCUUUGAGGAAUGUGAGGGUCGCAGAUUUCUGCAGUUCGUUCAUUCAGGCACAUCAAGAUCGCUGGCUAACAAGUUUACAAUACUGCUAGGGGCAUCAUCCACCCAAAAGCAAUCCUGGGAAUCGUUUCUCACCCCGACCUGGGCAAGUUCAUGCCCUACGGUGUUACGUACACGACUACUAAAAGAGAACUUGAAAGACUCGAAAUUUGAAACA